rnacentral:misc_RNA from 1 species
CUAGCAUGCGCGACGCUACGGCCAUAUCACGCUGUACCUCGAUGCGCGACCGCUAUCGGCCAUAUCACGCUGUACCUCGAUGCGCGACCGCUAACGGCCAUAUCACGCUGUACCUCGAUGCGCGACCGCUAACGGCCAUAGCACGCUGUACCUCGAUGCGCGACCGCUAGCGGCCAUAGCACGCUGUACCUCGAUGCGCGACCGCUACGCCAUACACGCUGUACCUGAUGGGACCGCUA